rnacentral:lncRNA from 1 species
GAUCAAAUACUUUUUUCCCUCACUGUAUGUGUCGAACUGCUUUGCUUUAUCUUGGCCAGGUCGCAGAUGUAAAUGAGAACUUGUUCUCAACUUGCCUACCUGGUUAAAUAAAGGUUAAAUAAAAAAAAUUAAAAACACCUCUCAGUGAGGGCCAGGUCAGGAGGCCUGCUAUCCCGGCCCACCACGACCUCAUCCUGUCUCUGCUGGCUAAGAUUGACCAGGGGGUCAUCAUUCAGACAUGCCCUGACCCAGAGGGUUCCUGUUAGGAGGAGGGAGAGGAGGGAGAGGUCCGCGAGGGCCAGAGACCCAUACUGCAUCCUGCAGGGACUGCUGACUGGACACUCCCCCACCAGCCGGCCAAGCGCCAGGACAGGGCCACAGGACGGGGAGGGGGACAGAGCUUCACCCCAACCCCAGACAGGGACACGUCUCCUCCCCAGGACAGCUCACCCUGCAGUCAGUAGAAGUUAGACGCAACGAGCUUCCAGGACACUCAGUGGCCGGUUGACAUCAGGAACGUGGAUGUGGAGCCAGAGACGCCACAUCAGCCUCCUCAGCUUGACACCUCAAUGUCACCUCCACCGCUGGAGGACUCCCUCUCCCUCAGUGCACCACAGGCAAGCAU